rnacentral:rRNA from 1 species
UACGGAGGGGGCUAGCGUUGUUCGGAAUUACUGGGCGUAAAGCGUGCGCAGGCGGUUUUGUAAGACUGUCGUGAAAUCCCCGGGCUCAACCUGGGAAUGGCGAUGGUGACUGCAAGGCUAGAGUUUGGCAGAGGGGGGUAGAAUUCCACGUGUAGCAGUGAAAUGCGUAGAUAUGUGGAGGAACACCGAUGGCGAAGGCAGCCCCCUGGGUCAAAACUGACGCUCAUGCACGAAAGCGUGGGGAGCAAACAGG